UAGUUGCUCUGAUGAAUUGAUGGAAUAAUUCACAUGUCAGACUUCGGAGGUUGUUUCAACCUGUGAGAUAAAAAUCCUUAUUUCUGAGUAACAA
rfam:Spinacia oleracea cultivar SynViroflay scaffold6213.con0003.1, whole genome shotgun sequence.